rnacentral:rRNA from 1 species
UACAUGAAGCUGGAAUCGCUAGUAAUCGCAGAUCAGAAUGCUGCGGUGAAUACGUUCCCGGGUCUUGUACACACCGCCCGUCACACCAUGGGAGUCGGAAAUGCCCGAAGUCGGUGACCCAACCGUUUACGGAGGGAGCUGCCGAAGGCAGGUCUGGCGACUGGGGUGAAGUCGUAACAAGGUAAC